UCAUGAUGAAACCCAAACUGAAAAGCUGGAAUUACCGUCAGAUUGUUCAGUGUUGAUCCUCGGUUUACUGAAA